UAUAUAUAUAUAUAUAUAUAUAUUAAUGCCUUAAAACGCAAUAACUUGUAAGAGCACAGUUAAUUUUUCUACUUUUCCAAUUUGCAACAACACACACAUAAAUUAAAGCAAUGAAAUCCGUAAGCACGGCGCGGCCUUAACAAAUCGCAAAUGGCACGACAAUCAAUGGAAUUCGCCAACAGUUAAACAGCGUUGCGGCUUUAACACACUUGCGGCGGCUACCAGCAUUGGUGACAAUGCCAAAAGACACUGAAAGCUGUGCGACUUUGAAAUAGUCAUUGACAAAGGUUGCGCUGCUGGUUGAUGAAUUGCUGUCAAGCACCUGCGCUGAGCAGAAGACAAGCGAAGAAAAGUCGUCAAUAACCAUUUUCGGUAUAUUUCGUGUGAAAAUAGAUAAAAAUAGCUAUCAUAGGCUGGCGCAAAAUGCUGAAACCAAAUCAAAUAUUUGUGCGCAAACAGCAGGUGAAGCGCUGGUUCAAAGCCGCAGAAGGCACGAGAGACACGGCAGAGCAUACACUACACUCGCAUUCGUCACUCAACUCAAAUCCAUAUGUUUAUAUGUAUGUACAUAUGUGUGUACGAGUUCAUGAGCGUUUCGCGUCAACUACCUGUUGAGUUUGUUAAUUUUUCUAUGGCAACGGACAGCGCACGAAAAAGUAAAUAAAAAUGUGUAUGAAAAGAUUUGAACAGCGCGCGAAGUGAAUUAUGAGGCUUGUGAGAAAGCGCGGCGCUGCACGGAGCGCAAGCGAAAGGCAUGGCAAAUAUACAGAAAUUGUUUGUGAAAAUUUAAUAUGAAAGUGAAGUAAAUUAAACAGCCGGACAAGCGGUUGAACUAAAAAGUGCGCCAGCAAACAUUUGGCAUGCACUGAGCAGAUCGACCCUCUACACUUGCAAUAUAUGUACAUACAUAUAUGUACAUAUAUAUAAUAUAUGCUAGUAUAUUGUGUGCGUCUGCAUGUGUACGUGUUGGUAUGUUACAUGAAUAUCCAUUGUGUAUAUUGCUUAGAUCGUCGUAAACAUAACGUUAUGCCAUUAAUUUUACGAUAUUAUGUUUCAACAGCGCCAACGCGAGUGCAACGGAGAGUUCCGGCAGCACGGUUCAUUGACGAACAGCUUGCAAACACACAGUCACAUACAAAUGCAUGCUCUUAAGUUUAGAGCGGAGCGUGCAUAGCAUCCGUUAGGAGAGCAGGAGCGUGAGAAAGAGCGCCUAAGGAACUGUUUGGCCAACAACUUGAAAUUACACCCAACAGCUGAGAAAACAGCCGAGGCAAAAUAGUUCAAACUUCCUUUAUACUAAUAACAAUUUAAUAAUAAAAAAAUGUUUUGUUAAACGA